rnacentral:rRNA from 1 species
GACGUAGGGCGCGAGCGUUGUCCGGAUUUAUUGGGCGUAAAGAGCUCGUAGGCGGCUUGUCGCGUCGACCGUGAAAACUCGCAGCUCAACUGCGAGCCUGCGGUCGAUACGGGCAGGCUAGAGUUCGGUAGGGGAGACUGGAAUUCCUGGUGUAGCGGUGAAAUGCGCAGAUAUCAGGAGGAACACCGGUGGCGAAGGCGGGUCUCUGGGCCGUAACUGACGCUGAGGAGCGAAAGCGUGGGGAGCGAACAGG